UGAUUAUGAAUUCUCAUGAGCAUAGAUGG
rnacentral:piRNA from 1 species